UACGUAGGAGGCGAGCGUUAUCCGGAUUUACUGGGCGUAAAGCGGGCGUAGGCGGCUUGUCAAGUCGGAUGUGAAAUCUCCCGGCUAAACUGGGAGGGUGCAUUCGAUACUGAUGGGCUAGAGUGCAGCAGAGGGAAGCGGAAUUCCCGGUGUAGUGGUGAAAUGCGUAGAUAUCGGGAAGAACACUAGUGGCGAAGGCGGCUUUCUGGGCUGUUACUGACGCUGAGGUCCGAAGGCGUGGGGAG
rnacentral:rRNA from 1 species